UACAGAGGUGGCAAGCGUUGUUCGGAAUUACUGGGCGUAAAGGGCGCGUAGGCGGUUCGUUAAGUCCUGUGUGAAAUCCCCCGGCUCAACUGGGGAACUGCACAGGAAACUAGCGGGCUUGAGUUCGGGAGAGGGAAGCGGAAUUCCGGGUGUAGCGGUGAAAUGCGUAGAUAUCAGGAGGAACACCAAUUGCGAAGGCAGCUCGCUGGGACGUUACUGACGCUGAGACGCGAAAGCGUGGGGAGCAAACAGG
rnacentral:rRNA from 1 species